rnacentral:tRNA from 1 species
GCCCUUGUGGCUCAGUAGGUAGAGCGUCGCCUUGGUAAGGCGGAGAUCGGCAGUUCGAGUCUGCUCAAGGGCUCCA